rnacentral:lncRNA from 1 species
CGGGGACCCGGGGCUUGAUGCUGCUUGGGCCUGGCCCAGUGGCGGGUCCUAGGGACGUGGGUACCUGCAGAGGCCGGCAGAUGGAGAUUCAGAAACAUAAGGACAACAAGAAACUUCCCCAAGGUAUCAUUAUAGUCUUUAGACUUCAGACACACACCACACCUCAAAUAUAUACACAACUGAAAGGAAAAUUAAGGAAGUUUUUCAAAGAACCCUAUUCCGAGUAAGAAGUGUGUUGCAUGAAUUUCUAAGAGCCAGAAAAUGCAUGACACAGGAGAAGAUGUACCCUCAUCUGUUCAGUGAGAGAUGUGCAAAUCAACAUCAACACAGAACUGCUGAAGAAAAAAAAUAUGUGUGUGGAUUAUAUAUAUACAUAUAAGUGUGUGUAUAUAUAUAUAUAUAUAUAUUUACAUAUAUAGUAUGGGCUAUUUCACCUUUGCAAGCUGGGAGCCAUUAAGUAAUGGCUACCACCACUCCCCCACCCCCUUCAGUAAAACACAUCCUGAACAUUGGGCCCAUGUUUUCAAGAAGAAUGUGCCCCACUGCCCCUUGGAAACUCCAUUUCAUUUACUUGGUUCAGUUAGUUAAUGACGGUCCAUUUUGACUCAAAUAUCCAGUUCCCUUUCAUCAAUCAUGUCUUUCUGGACUGUCAGUUUUAGGGCAAGGAUUACAAAGCCCUUCCAUGCAGAUAUCCACAGAGAAAGACCCAGACCCACAUCC